AAGGCUGCCUGCGGUGGGACUUUGAGAGGGGAGCUGAGCUUGAUGCAAAUAUUCUACUCUAAGGGUUCUUCGGUUACUAAAGGAGCCAUCACCAUUACCUAAAGCCAAGCAGAGGGAGAUAACAAACAAGUGACUUAGCACUUCUCUCUCUCUCUCUCUCUCUCUCUCUCUCUCUCUCUCUCUCUCUCUCUCUCUCUCUCAUCCCCCCCCCCCCCCCGAGAUAAACUAAGCGAGAUAACUUUAAACACACACAGGCUCACAGGAAAACCUGGGCUGCCCGGACCCCGACACUCAGCACGGCAGCUCCCUGCGCCACUCCUGGAAAAUAAUGACUUGGGUAAGGAACAGUUAAUAAGAAAAUGUGUCUCGCUAACCGUGCACAGCACAACAAAGAGCUGGCAGCCCCUGAAGGAAAAGGGCUUGUGCGGCUGCCGUUCAAACUUGUCAGUCAACUCGUGCCAGCAGCCUCAGCGUCUGCCUCCCCAGUGCACCCUCAUUACAUGUGUCUGUCUGGCCUCAUCUGUGCAUGGGCUCUGAGCCGCUCCGCUCCUGACAGUUCGGAAUUCUCUUCCUCUCUCCCUGCUGCAAAGAGCGGAUUUCUCUCCGUGUCUCUUCUGUCAUCUCCAGCUCCCCUCUCCAAGGACGCACCUUGAUUUAUGGUAGCUUUGGACUUCCUUCAGCGUCUGCCUGUCCUUGACUUCUAGAAUGGAAGAAGCUGAGCUGGUGAAGGGAAGACUCCAGGCCAUCACUGACAAAAGAAAGAUACAGGAAGAAAUCUCACAGAAGCGUCUGAAAAUAGAGGAAGAAAAAUUGAAACACCAACAUCUGAAGAAAAAAGCCCUGAGGGAGAAAUGGCUCCUGGAUGGAAUCGGCAGUGGAAAAGAACACGAAGAGAUGAAGAAGCAAAAUCAGCAAGACCAGCACCAGACCCAGGUUCUAGAGCAAAGCAUCCUCAGGCUUGAGAAAGAGAUCCAAGAUCUUGAAAAGGCUGAACUGCAAAUCUCAGCCAACGAAGAGGCAAUUCUGAAGAAGCUAAAGUCGAUCGAGAAGACCACAGAAGACAUAAUAAGAUCCGUGAAGGUGGAAAAGGAAGAAAACCCAGAAGAGUCAAUCGAGGACAUCUAUGCUAAUAUCCCUGACCUUCCAAGUUCCUACAUACCUUCCCGAUUAAGAAAGGAAAGAAACGAAGGACCAGAUGACGAACAAAACAGAAAAGCUUUGUAUGCCAUGGAAAUUAAAGUUGAAAAAGAUUUGAAGACUGGAGAGAGCGUAGUUCUGUCUUCAAUACCGCUGCCAUCUGAUGACUUUAAAAGCACAGGGAUAAAAGUGUAUGAGGACCGGCAGAAAUCAGUCUAUGCUGUUAGCUCCAAUCAGAACACAACCUACAAUGGCACCGACGGCCUCGCACCUGUCGAAGUGGAGGAUCUCCUAAGACAAGCCUCAGAGAGGAACUCUAAAUCGCCCACAGAGUACCAUGAGCCAGUGUACGCCAAUCCGUUUUGCAGGCCUGUGACCCCACAGAGAGAAAGAGUCAUAAGCCCUGGACCAAAUUUUCAAGAAAGGAUAAUGAUGAAAACGAACGGACUGGGCAACCAUGCAAAUGAAUCUGCGCACAAUAUGACCGACGGGCUCUCAGAGAGGAGAAGCAACGGUCCCACUCACACCAGUCCCACUCGGCCAACACCUCAGCCCCGAUCAAUGGUUCAGCAAGUGGAAGAGAUGGUCCACACCCAACAAAAGAGGAUGGCAAGCCCUUGGGAAGAAUCCAGCAACAGGCAAAACGAACACGAAGUUUCUCCAAGGAUGGAACUGAGCCCCAGCAGAGCAAGCCCUGGGAAAUCGGGACCCCAGUGUUCUUCACCCACUUGCCAGGAGGAGACAGAAGAUGUCAGAUAUAACAUCGUUCAUUCCCUGCCUUCUGAUGUGGAUGACACAGAACCUGUAACAAUGAUUUUCAUGGGGUAUCAGCAGGCAGAUGAUAAUGAGGAAGAAAAGAAGCUUUUGACAGGCUACGACGGGGUCAUCCACGCUGAGCUCGUUGUGAUUGAUGACGAGGCGGAGGAUAAUGAAGGACAAACCGAGAGGCCAUCCUACCAUCCCGUAGCUCCCUACAGUCAGGUUUACCAGCCACCCAAACCAACCCCACUUCCUAGAAAGAGAGCGGAAGUUAGGCCGUAUGAAAACACAAACCAUAAAUCUCCUCACAAAAAUUCCAUCUCUCUGAAAGAGCAAGAGGAACGCUUAGGCAGCCCUGCCCGGCACUCUCCCCUGGAUGUCCCAGUAGCUGGAGACGGGACUGAGGAUCCUUCCUUAACAGGUAAUAAAAAUGACAAGGCAUGCCGCUGCUGUUUACUAAUGUGACAGUCUUCUCCGUGCUAAUGAACGCUCUGACUUCCGGUGUUUGUGACCACCUCAUAAACUAAUACACACUGGAUAGCUUUUAUUAACGCUGAUCCGAAGUAUUAUCAGCAGAGCAAAGUAAGUCGCAUCAAAAAAAUAAUAAUAAUAAUAACAACGAAAGUGGAAACUCCGUCUUGCUUUGUUUUAAUAUUGCAUUGGCUGCCUCUAGCUACUGGAGAUGUAUGUGUCUUCUGGGAGGGAGCAAUGCCAUAUGUAUUCACAUUGGGGUUGCUAAUUAAUGUGCUGAUCAUCAGAAACAUACUUUUCACAGCAGAAUCCAAUGACAACUACUUUCCUGUGCCUCUCUGUGACUUAAAUUUUACACGUAAGUUAACAAGUAGCCUUAAUUUUAAAAGGAAAUAGGAGACACAUACCAUUUUCUUUGCAUUUUAUUACUCUGCUAUAUCUCCUUUCUCUAUACUUUUAUAGGUUUACUAAUGUUGGUUCUUUCAUUUUCUACACUUUAAAAUUUUUAUCUUGCAUCAUCUAUGACUCAAUUUUUCAUAGUCUUCUCCAACUUGAUGUAUUUUUUUUUCUAUUUUCUAUACAGCCGCAUUUCACAUUCUCUAUGACUUUUUAUGGCUUUGUAUCUCUUGAGCUAUUUUAUCAUUGAAUAAUGAAAAGUAACUGCAACACCUUUUUUUCUACACACUGACAGCUCCUCGAUUUCAAAUUCCUUGUUAUCACUCAGAUAUCGAGACCUAUUAUCACUGAUAGAAAAAUGAAUAAGAAUCUGACAAACACAAUUAGAAUGACUGGGUUUACCUUAGCUAAAAGUCUAAGUCAAAUUACACAAACGCACAGGUUCUAAACAUUAGAAAUGCAAAGUAAUUGUAAAUGUUGCUAAUUGAAGAAUGAUCAUUAAAAAGCAAUAGCUAUUAAGUACCAGCCAUCUGAGCAAGUUGAACCUGGUAGUUUUAUAGAAGUGGGUUAGGACCUCUGCAAUUCAAGAUCUUUCUCCCUCAUCGAGCCAUAAGCCCAAUCUUGUUUUGCUAAUAACACCAUAAUAGAGACAUCCUUAAAUUAUUUAAAGUCCUUGUUAGGUGAAUCCAUCACAAAUUUAAUCACCUGAAGGAUUUCUACCCUCCCUCAUGUGUCUUCCUCAGAAUCUGGAAUAACGUUCCCCCACAAUGGAAAGCUGCAGAGACUAAGGCCCUUUCCUUUUGGAGAACUGGCUUUGAUGGCUGGUCAAAUGCUUCUUUUGAAAUUCAUUCUUAAAACAAUGCAUGUAACAUAGGGGAAGGAUCGCUCUAUUUAUGGUCUGAAGUAUUGGCAUGACACACUAAAAACAAACAAACAAAAAAAAAAAAACCUCCCUGUUUUGAUGUUGGAUUUUAGCCAGCUCUUCCAAAAACCCCCUACUCCUUCUUCCCUAACCAUAUUAACACAUUUACCCCAAGUAAAAUGACAGGAAGUGACUAACAUUUCCAGACAACACUAAUCAUGCUACUGAAAUAAAAUUAUGAAAACAGGAAAACCUAUUCCAAAGUAACAAUGCAAAGUCUUGUGCUAUCAAACUAAGUAUCUUGUGAAGAGAAUGCUCCAAAUUCCUUACCCUUCAUUGUGAAAUUGUUUUACGUCUCUGCCUUCCAAUUCGUCACAUAGAUCACAGAGUGGAGGUAUUAGUUUGAAUGAGCUUUAAAAAUAAGUCAAUCAGGGCUGGUGAGAUGGCUCAGUGGGUAAGAGCACCCGACUGCUCUUCCGAAGGUCCGAAGUUCAAAUCCCAGCAACCACAUGGUGGCUCACAACCACCCGUAAUGAGAUCUGAUGCCCUCUUCUGGAGUGUCUGAAGACAGCUACAGUGUACUUACAUAUAAUAAAUAAAUAAAUCUUUAAAAAAAAAAAUAAGUCAAUCAGAUUAUAUCAAUGAUUUCAGGGACCAACUAUGUACACUGAGAAUGUAGCUACCUAUGGACUUUAAUUUCACAAGUACAUUGUACUUUUCAACAUCACACAUACACACGCAUGCAUACAUAUACAUAUACAUAUACAUAUACAUAUACAUAUACAUAUACAUAUACAUAUACCAGAGAGAAAUGCUACAAUACUUAAAGACCCACAAUUUAAGUCAAUUCCUUUAUUAUAAUACAGAAUUCCUAUUAAAUACUAAUAGUUAUGGUAGGCACAAUAAUUAAGAAUUGUCUCUUUCCAUUUGUUGUAAAUAUACUUAUCAAAAUCUUAUCUCAAGAGACAUUCGUAGGAGUGGGGAAUAUAACACAGUGGGUAAGUGCACUUAUUCUACAAAAUAGGGAUGUGAAUUUGAAUUCCAACCACCCAUAUCAAAAGCCAUGGAUGUGCAAGCCUGUAACACCACCAUUGCAGGAGCAGGGACAGGCAGAUCCAGCAGUUCACUGGCCACCCAUCCAGCCAAAACAGUGAGCUUCUGCUUCAGGAAAGCCUCUGCUCCAAGGUAACAAGGCACGGAUUAAUAGAUAAGGCCACUUGAUGUCCUGCUUUGGCCUUCUGUGUGCAGCAUACGCAGUGCAUGCAUCACACAGAGAGAGACAGAGACAGAGAGAAAGUCAGAGACAGAGUUUCUCACUUGAAAAGCUAUGUUAGUAGAAACUAGUCCAGCAUGGAUAGUCUAGCAACAGUAUAGUUUAGUAAAAUUUUGAACACUGUGAAACAUGACAGAAAUCUUAUGUCUAUCUGCUUGUAUAAGCAUGAUAUGAUCCAGACUCACCCACUAUUAUAUGGCUUCAGUAAGCGCUCCAUGAGAUCACAGUAACCCUGACAAUAGCAACUACACAGCUUGCUUUCUUUGGUAGACCUCACACACCUAUUCUUCUCCCGGCUCAGUUCUGUGAUUGUAGAGAUAUCAAUGGUUCUUCGGGAUGAAGAGGCAGAAAAACUUUAGCUCUGGAGCACUCGCUCCCCCAUUGAUUGGGAAACAGCCAGUAGGGGUCACAGGAGGCUGAGCAUAAAACACAAAUCUCUCUCCCACCAAUUUAAGCAGCUAAAACUGUGUGUCUGAGUGGUUGGAGGAAAUCAAGACUGGGAUCAGAGAAGAGCAGAGAAGAGAGGUCAAGAGGAGAACUGAAGGCACACUAUUAGAGGAAGCAUCCUUGCAUUGACUGAGCAUGCUUCCUCUCCACACCUCCACCUGGAAUUAUGGCUACUGCCACAGGCUUGGAGAAAGGGAUCCGAGUGCUAGCUGACCUCACUGCAUGCCCUGCGACACAGGGAGGGCUCUAUUUGCAGACUCUCAAGAUGGGGCAUAACUAACUGUAGGGAACAAGAUUCUGACCCUGUCUUAAACAGACCUUUAAGCAAUCCGUUAUCCCUGCUCUCUCUCAGCAUUGGUAAUGCAAGAGGACACAAAACCCACGAUCAGCCCCCCUCAUGAAGCCUUGCCUCCUGCCUAUUCUGCUGUGGGGUUGCAGGUUCUUGCCCAGAGGCCACCACCCAGCAGCUUCCAGCAACAGAGCCCACCCAUCCUGCUGACUGGGCAAAGGAAAUUCUCUCAAGACAGCCUGAACGCUGGCUUUGCUGUUAGUAGUGACUUGCCUCGUCACUUUCAAGUGAAAGCGAUGCUUUUAACCUCUGUCACAGAGAGAACAUGGCAUUGAAAAUGACCUCAUGACAGUGGCAGGUCCCCAUCCCUUCUCAUAUUUUUGUAAAAGGCCUUCUGAAGAUAGGAUCAUUGCUUUGGUUGAUGGGUAACUAUGUGCAGCAUAGAGAUGGGGAGAAAAAAAAAACAUGCCUUCUCUUACUGUUUCAUUAAAACAAAAUUGUACAAUUAGCUAAAUGGCUGCUUCUUGGGCCAUUUUACACACAAAUGUAAUAUUGCAUAAUGAAUAUAAUCAUUUGCUCAAUGCCUUGAAAGCACCUUAAAACUUUUAGAACAUGACAGAGGCAGCUAUACCCAAAGGCCCUCGGUAUUGAGGUGUAAUACCAGAACACCAAAUGAGUGCUAUCAAUCCCACACCUACAGUUUUAAAAGGCUUCAUCAGCAGUAGAGCACACUCAAAGAUACAGCUGCCAUUCAAAAGCAUAAUUACACACUAACGCUUAAUUAUUAGUUCAUCUCAUUUCAUACAUAGAUUUAUUCUUGUCAUUGCCCAUCCAAAGGUCAGAGGGCCUUUGGACAACCAAGCUUAAUGAUAUUAUUUUAAAAUUUUUAAUCACUAAUCAUAGUUUAAGUAUGAGUAUCUUUGUUUUGGUUCAGUGGUACAAAGCUAAGGAUAUGCACAAAAGACAGAUAUUGACGUAAAGGAAUAUAUCCAGGCUGAGAGUGAAAAUACACGCCAUCAGCCUGUGCUGGGUUUGUUCUGCUCGUUUUUCUGGCCUCUGUAGACAUAGGCUCCUCCUAGUUCUGAACCUACACCUGUCCUAAGUUAACCAUAGCUCAUUAUUUCUGCUGUCUCUUUACGCUACUAAAACAAUGCUCACGCGGUUGGAUAAAACCAUCUGAGCUUUAAGAAUAAGAAUGGCCAAGCUGGGGAAAAAGGUGAUCUGAGAGCCGUGGUGCCCACCUGAAUAACCUCUGAAGGAGAAGCCACGAAAUGCCUGAAAACUUCUCUUCUGAAUUCUUUUAUUUCUUGUCCCUAAAGUCCAAAACUAUAUAAUUAUACCCAUAGUAAGUCACAUAAAUAAAUAUUAGUCAUUAUUUAGGGGGGAAUCCCCCCUCAAAAAAAACUGGGACAACAAAUGCUAACUUUUCCAGUUACUUGAUAUGACUCAGUGGGGCCGGGGGAACCAGUAUAUUUUUAUUGUAUUGAUACCAAAGCAUUUCUAAUAAGAGCUUGUUGAAUUUAAGAAUAAAGUUAUUUAAAAUACCUUGA